rnacentral:rRNA from 1 species
GAUGAACGCUGGCGGCGUGCCUAAUACAUGCAAGUCGAGCGAACGGACGAGAAGCUUGCUUCUCUGAUGUUAGCGGCGGACGGGUGAGUAACACGUGGAUAACCUACCUAUAAGACUGGGAUAACUUCGGGAAACCGGAGCUAAUACCGGAUAAUAUUUUGAACCGCAUGGUUCAAAAGUGAAAGACGGUCUUGCUGUCACUUAUAGAUGGAUCCGCGCUGCAUUAGCUAGUUGGUAAGGUAACGGCUUACCAAGGCAACGAUGCAUAGCCGACCUGAGAGGGGGACCGGCCACCCUGAACCUGAAACCCGUUCCAGCCUCCUCCGGGAGGCAGCAGUGGGGAACCUUCCGCAAUGGGCGAAAGCCUGCCGGAGCAACGCGGCGUGAGUGAUGAAGGUCUUCGGUUCGUAAAACCCUGUUAUUGGGAAGAACAUAUGUGUAAGUAACUGUGCACAUCUUGACGGUACCUAAUCAGAAAGCCACGGCUAACUACGUG